AGCAUCACUUUGUCUCCAUCAAGAACUGUUUGAAAACUACUGAAAAAUGUUGUAAAGAAUGGAACAGACACCAGCCAAUGGAAGGCAAAAUGGCUACAGGUACCCAGGUAACUAUAUUCCCAGAUCCCUGCAUUUUGGAGUGGCAAUACAACUGAGGGCAUUUCAUUUAUAGCAUCCUACAACUUUAGGAAAGAAGAAAAUCCUCUGAGGCAAUCAGAUAAAGAAGAUAAUAUAUUACUAAGUUAUGUAUUUUAACAUUGUUUGCUUGAGGCUUUGGAGUUAAAAAGAUUCUUUGCAUUGUAGAUUUGAUUUACUUUACCUCAUGGAAAUUUCUUUGAGUUUUUAAGUACUAUAUAAAAAUUAGUUGUAUGAAAAUUUAUUGCAAAAUUAUCUGAAUGUGUCACAAAUAAAUAUCUGUAUAUAUCUCUUUAGCUUUGGAUUUUUUCUAAGCAAAAUUUAUUUUUGAAAUAUCUAAUUAUGAGUUAUAAAGGGAAAUACCUUUAUUCAUUGAAUAAUCAGAUAAAUGUUACCAUACUCAAUAUAGAUAUUUUUGUUAGGCUGUGAUUGAUUUUGAACAUAUUAAAGAAGAAUAUUACUCUGGGCUGAUAAUUUACAACCCAAAUUCUGAAAAUUGAAGUAUUUAAUUUUUUUAAACUUUAGAAGUACAAUUCUGAAAUUGUUGUAUGUAUCAAUUUUUCCAUAAUGUAAAAGAAAAGCAUUUCAGAAAACUCAUAUUAUGAUGGUUUUGUAGAUAAUUUGCUUUCUUUUUGUCAUAUCCAUAUUAUCAAAAUGUAAACCUCAGGCACUCACUUCAGUAAAUGACAAUGUGCUGUCCCUCAGAGAAACUGAAUAAUAGCUUUACAAACCAGAACCUUACUAUAUUAGUCAAAAAUCAAUGCACAUUGCAGAGAGGAAUAAGGGAGACCUCAUGAACCAUAUAUCACAAAUUUCCACAGUGGGAACCGUAGCGACAUUGGAAGAUAUUGUGUUCAGAACCCUUAAUGAGAGUUGGCCUCAUUUUUAUGGCUAGCUGCAAAGUCUGUUACACUUAAUGGUGAUUUGCUCUAAACAAUGAUCUACAAAUGAAUGCCAGAUAUGCUAAUAAAUUUCUGUAUUAAAAGACUACUGACAAUUGGUUCAGAAAGGAGUUUUUUUCCUCCUUCCUAGGAAGUACUGACAUGGUAAUAUUAACACUUGAAAGUGUCAACUGCUUAAUGAAAUUUUGCCCUUAUAGAUUACCAAGCUUUCUUAAAUGUUAGAAGUUAUUUUUAGGAGAUAAUUUACUGCAAUUAGGGUUAUUUAUAUUGAUAUAUACAUUUAUUUGAGUUUUAAAAAUAUGUUACCAUGUAGAAGUGGCAUUGUGUAUGACUAUGAUGGCAAUCAAUAUUUGGAUAUACUAAUUUAUAAACAUUAACUACCUUUGUUCAAACUAAAAUAUAAUUAAAUAAGGGUUAUGUGAUGGAAUUAUUUGGUUUUAAAUAUUAAAUAAAGUGUGAAUAAAAAUUUUCCAUUAUCUUUUGAACUAUUUGUAACAUAACAAUCCUAAUAGGCUUCCCAAAGAACUUUGUGUUAAAAUACAAACCUAAUGGGCUCAUCGAAAGCCACAAAUAAAGGAGCUGUCAAGUAAAGUUGAUGAAAAAGAGAAAUGAUACAAAAGGCAGCCUCAGGUACAAUUAUGAAAAUGUCAAUAUAAAAAAUUAUUUCCCUUGAUGUGAUAUUAUUAGAGUGUGAUACUAAUUACUAAAACUAGGAUUAUAAAGAUUUAUUGACCUCUAGCAUGGUUUGCCAAGAAGUUUGUUACAAAUUAUGGUGUACUCCUUGUAGAAAAAUGUAUUUGGUGAUAGAUUUUUGAGGAUUUUCUAAUUUUUUCAUGUUGAAA